UGGGGAAUAUUGGACAAUGGGGGCAACCCUGAUCCAGCGAUGCCGCGUGUGUGAAGAAGGCCUGCGGGUUGUAAAGCACUUUUAUUGGGGAAGAAGGAUAUGUAGAUGAAAGUCUGUGUAUUUUGACGGUACCCAAAGAAUAAGCACCGGCAAACUCUGUGCCAGCAGCCGCGGUAAUACAGAGGGUGCAAGCGUUAAUCGGAGUUACUGGGCGUAAAGGGCGUGUAGGCGGGAAGAUAAGUCAAAUGUGAAAGCCCCGGGCUUAACCUGGGAAUGGCAUGUGAAACUGUUUUUCUAGAGUAAAGUAGAGGGUGACGGAAUUUCCGGUGUAGCGGUGAAAUGCGUAGAUAUCGGAAGGAACACCAGUGGCGAAGGCGGUCACCUGGACUUUUACUGACGCUGAGGCGCGAAAGCAUGGGUAGCGAACAGGAUUAGAUACCCCCGUAGUCC
rnacentral:rRNA from 1 species